CCUACGGGAGGCAGCAGUGGGGAAUUUUGGACAAUGGGCGAAAGCCUGAUCCAGCAAUGCCGCGUGAGUGAAGAAGGCCUUCGGGUUGUAAAGCUCUUUUGUCAGGGAAGAAACGGUGAGAGCUAAUAUCUCUUGCUAAUGACGGUACCUGAAGAAUAAGCACCGGCUAACUACGUGCCAGCAGCCGCGGUAAUACGUAGGGUGCAAGCGUUAAUCGGAAUUACUGGGCGUAAAGCGUGCGCAGGCGGUUUUGUAAGUCUGUCGUGAAAUCCCCGGGCUCAACCUGGGAAUUGCGAUGGAGACUGCAAGGCUAGAAUCUGGCAGAGGGGGGUAGAAUUCCACGUGUAGCAGUGAAAUGCGUAGAGAUGUGGAGGAACACCGAUGGCGAAGGCAGCCCCCUGGGUCAAGAUUGACGCUCAUGCACGAAAGCGUGGGGAGCAAACAGGAUUAGAUACCCUGGUAGUCCACGCCCUAAACGAUGUCUACUAGUUGUCGGGUUUUAAUAACUUGGUAACGCAGCUAACGCGUGAAGUAGACCGCCUGGGGAUACGGUCGCAAGAUUAAAACUUAAGAGUAGUGCGNGNGAGAGCGACGACGACGACGACGGAGGAGGAGG
rnacentral:rRNA from 1 species